rnacentral:rRNA from 1 species
AAAGACCUUAUGCUUUUGGAUCGGCCGAUGUCUGAUUAGCUAGUAGGUGGGGUAAAUGCUUACCAAGGCGACGAUCAGUAGUUGGUCUGGGAGGACGACCAGCCACACUGGGACUGAGACACGGCCCAGACUCCUACGGGAGGCAGCCGCGGGGAAGUUUUGACAAUGGGCGCAAGCCUGAUACAGCAAUGCCGUGUGAGUGAAGAAGGCCUUCGGGUUGUAAAGCUCUUUCAGUCGAGAAGAAAAGGUUGUGACUAAUACUCACAACUCAUGACGGUAUCGACAGAAGAAGCACCGGCUAACUACGUCCCAGCAGCCGCGGUAAUACGUAGGGUGCGAGCGUUAAUCGGAAUUACUGGGCGUAAGGGGUGCGCAGGCGGCUCCGUAAGUCAGAUGUGAAAUCCCCGGGCUUAACCCGGGAAUU